ensembl:lncRNA
UUAUACUCUGCAUAUCUCUUUGAAGAGAUGUUUGAAAUUUUUCAUUAAAAGUGCAAAAGUUAUAAAGAAUGAAAUUCCAGGAUUGUAUCCAAGUCCUUAAUCUCUUAACCCCCUCUGAACCCCCAGGCUUCACUUUUCAUAAUAAAGGCAGAAUGUUCAUCAAAUACGGAUGGUCUACUCUCUACCCUCUCAGAGACACACAAACCUGCCUCAACGACUCGACAUCCGUGUCCUAUGUUACCGUUUGGCAACAGGAUCAGAAAAAUCUGGAUUCUGGUUUAAUCCACACAGCCUUUUCCUCUCUUUUUCUUCCCGUUUGCCUUUCCUUUCCCUCUCCAUCAGUGGCUUCCUUCGCCUGCCCUCUUUCCCAGACACACGGACAUGGGUUCCCCCUGGAGCUAAGCCAGUGAGAAACCAGGUGUUUCCAGGUCCCCCAGGGAAGCUUCUCCACGCAGCCCGACCCUGAGACCUUCCAGCAAGGUGGUUUAGUCACUAAGCCAUGUCCGACUGUUGUGACUCCAUGGAAUGUAGCCUGCCAGGCUUCUCUGUCCAUGGGAUUCUCCAGGCAAGAAUACGGGAGUGGGUUGCCAUUUCCUUCUCCAGGGAAUCUUCCCAACCCAGGGAUCAAACACUGGUCUCCUGCAUUGGCAGGCAGAUUCUUUACCAACUGAGCUACAAGGGAAGCUUCCAGCAAGGACCAGAUAGUAAACCACCUCCCUGCCUCUUAAGACGCUCAUGUCCAUACAAAAACUUGCACAUGGGUGCUUUUUCACAGUGACUUUAUUCAUAAUUGCCAAAGCUUGAAAACAACCAAAGUGUCCUUCAGUAGGUGAUGGAUAAAUGAACUACAGGGCAUCCAGAUGGGAAUAUUAUUACAUGCUAAAAUAAGCGAGCUGUCAAGUCAUGAAGACAUGGAGGAAACAAAGGCUACACGCUAUAUGAUUGCAACUAGUUUGAUGUCACGGAAAAGGCAAGAUAUGCCAAGGAUAAAAAGGUCUGAUUUUGAGGGAUUGUGGCGAGGGAGGGAUGAACAGGUGGAGAACAGAGAGUUUUUAGGGCAGUGAAACUUCUCUGUAUGAUACUGUAUUGAUGUAUAAUAUACGUGUCAUUAUUUGUUUGGCCAAACCCACAGGACACACACCACCUACAGUGACCCCUGAUGUCAACUGUGGACUCUGGGUCAUAAUGACAUGUCCAUGUGGGGUCAUCAGUUGUAACACAAGUACCAACCGGUGGAGAUGAUGACGGGGAAGCCACGGGUGUGAGGGAGGAGGAAUAUUGAAAUGUCACACUUUCCACCUAGUUUAGCUGUGAACCUAAAGCUGCUCUUAGAAGUCUAUCUUUUAAGAGAAAGGAAAAACAUUACCCAGACCCAGGAGCACACAUCCUUCAAGGACGGUCUGCAGAGAUCAGAACACAAGAGUGUGCAUGCUCUACAAACAUGGCCAGCAGUUACCCAACACAGUGACCCAGAGACCAGGCCUCAGGCUUUCAUCCCAGCCCCAACCUACCCAGGGCAGCCACUCCUGAAGGGCCAGCAUCUACGACAGGCAUGCGUCCUGGGCCUGCCCCACAGUCUGGGUGGGAGGGGCCCCAAACUGCCUUCUGUCCAACCCCAUGGACUCGGGGCUGGAGAAGCCUGUGUUUCAGCUGAGCUAGGGUGGACCAGCCCCAGGCAGAGACCGCUGCCUCUCUCCCAUCUCCUCUGCGCUCGAGGAUGGAGGACCGUGGGGGGCUCCCACUCUGGCCCCUCCCCAGCGGGGCUCUAUGAUGGGAUCCGGAAGCAGCAGGCUUCCUCCCAUGGUUGGAGUAGCUCUCUCCCCUCUGGCUUCUCCGGCUACAGCUGUGGGUUGAACGUGACUGGAGAAGCUGGAAACUGCCCCAGGGCUGGAAAAGAGGCUGUUAUCUGCCAGCAUGCAGCUUUGCCAACAUGAGCUCGUCUUCCCGCCAGGCUCCAUCUCCAGGGCCCUGCUGAGCCUCAGGACAGGAGGGGGCUGCCCAGAGUCUCUGCCCAAAGGAAAGUGCGGCCUGAGA